rnacentral:lncRNA from 1 species
GUGAAGUGGCUGUGACUGAAAUGCUGCCAGGAGGUUUCUCUCUGCUACUCAGUUUAUUCAGCACAGGCAGCAAGAACAAGGCAUUUCAGUGCCAAGUGCCACUUCCCAGCCAGCUGCAGCUGAGUGCCUGCUCUCGUGGCCUGAGGGAGACAGGGAAAGGGCAGAAGUGGCUGCACAAUUCCUGUUUGCUGCUGCCUACAGAAGCUGAGGUGACAACGUGACAAGCCCCAGGGCUGCACCCCAGGCUCAGGGAACCUGUGCUGAGAUGUUUUCUGUGCCUGAGUGAUUCUGUUCACCUGCCAGCAGCACAGGCAACAGCAGCAGUUGUUCCUUUCUAACCACUGUGACCACCCACUCAGAAAUCCCAGGCUCCCCAGGGAUGUCUCCUCUGAAUCCUGCCCUAACAACCAGCCCUGUAGAGACCUAAUGUGCUGGAAAAGCACUCCCACAAACUAAUACUAGGGGAAAAGGUCUAGAGGUGUGUCUACAUCAUUAUGAAUCCAGGUUUUGUUCUCAGCUACACAUUGGGUAACUCUUACUAUUUUUAUUCAUGUAAGAAUUCCGACAAAUUCAGAAGCUGAGCAAAAUUCAGCUAUAUCCCAGCAGCUUCAUCCAGAAGACAAGUGACACUGGCUUUUCUGCACAGCCUCCCAGGAUUUACAGCGUGGUGCUUCCUGCCCUGCUCACUGAACCUUACCAGGAGUGUCUCUAGGUGGGCAGCACAGGCAGUCUGCAGGGAAGCUGUGGGGCACACGCUGCAGCUGAGGAUGCUCCCACGUGCACAGCACAAUCCUGGGACGUUGGAGGCUGCAGGAUGCACUGAUUAACUCAGACUGAUGAAGCAGUACCCAGUUAUUGUCAGAUGCCAGGCAAACCCAGCGUGUAACAACAUCCACUGUGUCUCACCUCUUAUCCCCGUGUACAGGAUAAUGUCAGAGUCCCAGAUGUCAGCAGGUCCAAAGGAUGAGCCUCAGUGAAACUUGCCUCGGCUGGAGAAGGUUUUGCAUUUGGCUGCAGAACAAACAAACAAAUCUAGUUCAGUGCACAAAAGAAAACUUUGAAGUAACUUUCUUAUGCAGUCUGAGGUACGAUGUGCUGAAGGCGCAAAUGAAGAAUUGCAGCAGUCCGUAGCUGAGGGGGAAAGGGGGGAGCAGAAAUUGGAGCAGGGAAUUCACACAGUACACUUCCCUUCAAAGCAUCGUGUACAUUUGCAAGCCUUGC